GACGAACGCUGGCGGCGUGCUUAACACAUGCAAGUCGAACGGAAAGGCCCUGCUUUUGUGGGGUGCUCGAGUGGCGAACGGGUGAGUAACACGUGAGUAACCUGCCCUUGACUUUGGGAUAACUUCAGGAAACUGGGGCUAAUACCGGAUAGGAGCUCCUGCUGCAUGGUGGGGGUUGGAAAGUUUCGGCGGUUGGGGAUGGACUCGCGGCUUAUCAGCUUGUUGGUGGGGUAGUGGCUUACCAAGGCUUUGACGGGUAGCCGGCCUGAGAGGGUGACCGGCCACAUUGGGGCUGAGAUACGGCCCAGACUCCUACGGGAGGCAGCAGUGGGGAAUAUUGCACAAUGGGCGGAAGCCUGAUGCAGCAACGCCGCGUGCGGGAUGACGGCCUUCGGGUUGUAAACCGCUUUCGCCUGUGACGAAGCGUGAGUGACGGUAAUGGGUAAAGAAGCAACGGCUAACUACGUG
rnacentral:rRNA from 1 species